rnacentral:misc_RNA from 1 species
UUUCCGUAGGUGAACCUGCGGAAGGAUCAUUACCGAGUGAGGAUGCUUGUCAUCCAACCUCCCAUCCUUUGUCAAUUGACCUGGUUGCUUCGGCGUGGAGACCCUCCCGUCGGAAGCCAAUUCUUCAAAUUCUGAAUAAACUUGUUUGUCUAAAUCAUUUAAUAUUUUAAAUAAGCAAAACUUUCAACAACGGAUCUCUUGGUUCUGGCAUCGAUGAAGAACGCAGC